AGCGAACGCUGGCGGCAGGCCUAACACAUGCAAGUCGAACGAAGUCUUCGGACUUAGUGGCGGACGGGUGAGUAACACGUGGGAACGUGCCUUUAGGUUCGGAAUAACUCAGGGAAACUUGUGCUAAUACCGAAUGUGCCCUUCGGGGGAAAGAUUUAUCGCCUUUAGAGCGGCCCGCGUCUGAUUAGCCAGUUGGUGAGGUAAAGGCUCACCAAGGCGACGAUCAGUAGCUGGUCUGAGAGGAUGAUCAGCCACAUUGGGACUGAGACACGGCCCAAACUCCUACGGGAGGCAGCAGUGGGGAAUCUUGCGCAAUGGGCGAAAGCCUGACGCAGCCAUGCCGCGUGAAUGAUGAAGGUCUUAGGAUUGUAAAAUUCUUUCACCGGGGACGAUAAUGACGGUACCCGGAGAAGAAGCCCUGGCUAACUUCGUGCCAGCCGCCGCAGUAAAAC
rnacentral:rRNA from 1 species